rnacentral:rRNA from 1 species
UGCCAGCAGCCGCGGUAAUACGGAAGGUCCAAGCGUUAAUCGGAAUUACUGGGCGUAAAGCGCGCGUAGGUGGUCUGUUAAGUCGGAUGUGAAAGCCCCGGGCUCAACCUGGGAACUGCAUUCGAUACUGGCAGACUAGAGUGCGAGAGAGGGGUGUGGAAUUUCCUGUGUAGCGGUGAAAUGCGUAGAUAUAGGAAGGAACACCAGUGGCGAAGGCGACACCCUGGAUUGAUACUGACACUGAGGUGCGAAAGCGUGGGUAGCGAACAGGAUUAGAUA